AGCAGCCGCGGUAAUUCCAGCUCCAAUAGCGUAUAUUAAAGUUGUUGCAGUUAAAAAGCUCGUAGUUGAAUUUCGGGAUCAAUACGUCGGUCGUGCUUUCGGGUACGUACUGGCGUCAUUGGUUUCUCCUUUCUGACGAACCAUGAUGUCAUUAAUUUGGUGUUAUGGGGAGUUAGGACUGUUACUUUGAAAAAAUUAGAGUGUUUAAAGCAAGCUAACGCUUGAAUACAUUAGCAUGGAAUAAUGAAAUAGGACGUUCGAUCCUAUUUUGUUGGUUUCUAGGAUUGACGUAAUGAUUAAUAGGGAUAGUUGGGGGCAUUAGUAUUCAAUUGUCAGAGGUGAAAUUCUUGGAUUUAUUGAAGACUAACUACUGCGAAAGCAUUUGCCAAGGAUGUUUUCAUUAAUCAAGAACGAAAGUUAGGGGAUCGAAGACGAUCAGAUACCGUCGUAGUCUUAACCAUAAACUAUGCCGACUAGGGAUCGGAUGAUGUUAAUUUUUUAAUGACUCAUUCGGCGCCUU
rnacentral:rRNA from 1 species